UACGGAGGGGACUAGCGUUGUUCGGAAUUACUGGGCGUAAAGCGCACGUAGGCGGAUUUGCAAGUCAGGGGUGAAAUCCCGGGGCUCAACCUCGGAACUGCCUUUGAUACUGCAAAUCUCGAGUCCGGAAGAGGUGAGUGGAAUUCCUAGUGUAGAGGUGAAAUUCGUAGAUAUUCGGAAGAACACCAGUGGCGAAGGCGGCUCACUGGACUGGUAUUGACGCUGAGGUGCGAAAGCGUGGGGAGCAAACAGG
rnacentral:rRNA from 1 species